rnacentral:rRNA from 1 species
GUGCUUAACACAUGCAAGUCGAACGGAAAGGCCCUUCGGGGUACUCGAGUGGCGAACGGGUGAGUAACACGUGGGUGAUCUGCCCUGCACUUUGGGAUAAGCCUGGGAAACUGGGUCUAAUACCGAAUAUGAUCAUCGGCUUCAUGGUCGGUGGUGGAAAGCUUUUGCGGUGUGGGAUGGGCCCGCGGCCUAUCAGCUUGUUGGUGGGGUAAUGGCCUACCAAGGCGACGACGGGUAGCCGGCCUGAGAGGGUGACCGGCCACACUGGGACUGAGAUACGGCCCAGACUCCUACGGGAGGCAGCAGUGGGGAAUAUUGCACAAUGGGCGCAAGCCUGAUGCAGCGACGCCGCGUGAGGGAUGACGGCCUUCGGGUUGUAAACCUCUUUCAGCACAGACGAAGCGCAAGUGACGGUAUGUGCAGAAGAAGGACCGGCCAACUACGUGCCAGCAGCCGCGGUAAUACGUAGGGUCCGAGCGUUGUCCGGAAUUACUGGGCGUAAAGAGCUCGUAGGUGGUUUGUCGCGUUGUUCGUGAAAUC